GUGAUUUCAAUUGCAUUUGUUCGAAAUAGUUACAUUUUUAAUUGUAUUACUUAAUAAAUAAUGGAAUUAAUUGCGAUAUUGUCUUCUCUUUUCCGUUUUUAGUGCUACGAUUUCCUGCCAACCAACCCCGUUGUUGUGUGGAUUCCUUUCCGUUGAACUCAAAUUGAAGGUUCACGAGACGUCUGGUGGUGAUGGUCAGUGCUCCCCUGCCUGUCUCUGGGUAUGUGUUUGUGGUCUCCCCUCCUGGCUCCUGGUGGCACGUCAACUCUCCAACAUCACCUCAGAAGAUCGUCUCUCAUCUCAUGCUUUCCUCCCUGCUUGUUGACUGCUGACCUCCAAGAGCUCCUGCCUGCCAACUAGUGCUUCCCUUACCUUUGCUGGCCACACAGCCUUGGCAUUCUCCAUUCCUCCUCUACCAUCUGCGAUAACCAGCCAUCCUUUCACCUCAACCCUUAUCCAACUAUUUACUUAAAAAUCCAAAGAGCUUCAAGUCUGUCCUUACUAUGUAGAAACAUUUUAAUACAAUCAGUGUGAUCAUGAUGCGUUUAGUGUGAUUCCUAGGUUCUUAUCACUUUCACAUAUAACCCAGCAGCUGGGUGUAUGAUGAAUUGCAACACUUGAACAUGAAUGUAUGUUGUGAGUUUUUCCAAGACAUUUUUGCCUUUAUUUUAUUAGGACAGUGGUUAGAGAGGAAACGAGAGAGAGAUUGGGGUUGCAAAGGACCACAGGCAGAAACUUUGAACCAUGACAGUAUCUCUCUGUAACCCUCUCUGCAAGACACCCUCUGUAAGUGAAGUAAUUUUAGGAACUGAGCUAGUCCAGAGAAUUAUUAUUAAAUUCAUAUUUCCACAGUCACUUUGGCAGUGAUUUUACUGUUAAGUGCGUUCAUACAUAAUAGCAAACUCCAGUUGUUGGCCUAAUAUCAUAUUUAACAGGAUGAAGACUGCCCCCUUUUGGAAUUAGAGGGGAUUGUACUUUAACAAAGCAGUAAAUCGGAGGGUGAAGGUCGCUACAGAGAUAAAUAAUCUCCUGUAGAGUGUUUCACCUGUAUGCAAUCAAUAGAUUAAACUAAGUGUGGGAAGCUGA